GAGUUGCUUAGUGUCUCAUUUUUGCUGAGGCUGGCUUUGAACUCACACUCCUCCUGUCUUAGCCUCCCAAGCCGCAGGGAUCGUAGGCAUGAGCCACCGCACCUGGCUCUUAUCAAUCUUCUAGGAAAGAUAAAGAGAGCAGACAUUCAGUUCCCCCUUUUAUUUGUUGGUGUUGCAAGUAAAAAUACCAGUUGUCCCCUAAUAUUCUUUCUCCCUCAAUUACACAAUCCCUGGUUUUAACGAGGCACAUGGAUGCUCAGAAAAAAAGCAAACUUGUCUGAUUUCCCUACCAAAUAAGUAUAGCCAUGCAAUUAAGUUCUAGCCAAUUAGAACUGAAGAAAAAUUAUGUGCAACUUCUGAAAAGUAGCCCAGAAAAACAGGGUCAGAUUAUUUUGUUAUUUCCUCCUUCCUCCUUUCUAUGUGGAAAGCAAAAGUGGCAUCUGGAGUGUGAGCAGCCAUUUUGGACUAUGAUGUUGCUAAACAUGGUAUCACAGCAGAGAGAGAAGGAAUUGGAUGGAACACCUGGUGAUCAUGGAGCCACCACAUCAGCACUGGGCUCCUGACCCCUCCGCAUUUAAUUUAGUUAAAGAUCAUAUCAGCACCUGUGCGUCAGUAAGGAUCCUUGUCAGUCAUUUGGAAGAGAAAAGCUGUAAAUGCCUGGACUUCUGCAUUCAAUCUUGGAACUGGGUUUCACAGCAAUGGCAACUUGGGUUUAAAUAUUAAGAGAUACCAUAGGACUUGAAGAAACCUUAAAACAAGUUAUAUUUUGACCCCACAACAGACACCUGGCAAUCUCGUGACAGACUUUUCUGCAAACCCCAGUGUGGCACGGAUUUGGAUUCACCAACAUUCCCUGCCCUCUGCUAAGGCCAGCUGUAAUGGAGGGAGCGCAGCACU